rnacentral:rRNA from 1 species
GACGAACGCUGGCGGCGUGCUUAACACAUGCAAGUCACGGGGGCUCGCAAGAGCAACCGGCGAACGGGUGCGUAACACGUGAGCAACCUGCCGAUCUGAGGGGGAUAGCCGGCCCAACGGCCGGGUAAUACCGCAUACGUUCUCGAGAGGGAGUCCUCUUGGGAAGAAACCUCCGGGGCAGAUCGAGGGGCUCGCGGCCUAUCAGCUAGUUGGUGAGGUAACGGCUCACCAAGGCANCGACGGGUAGCUGGUCUGAGAGGAUGGCCAGCCACAUUGGGGACUGAGAGACGGCCCAGACUCCUACGGGAGGCAGCAGUGGGGAAUCUUGCGCAAUGGCCGAAAGGCUGACGCAGCGACGCCGCGUGUGGGAUGAAGCAUUUCGGUGUGUAAACCACUGUUGCCCGGGACGAACACCCUCUUUCGAGAGGACUGACGGUACCGGGUGGAGGAAGCGACCGGCUAACUCCGUGCCAGCAGCCGCUGU